CACGUAGGGCGCAAGCGUUGUCCGGAAUUAUUGGGCGUAAAGAGCUCGUAGGCGGUCUGUUGCGUCUGCUGUGAAAACCCGGGGCUUAACCCCUGGCUUGCAGUGGAUACGGGCAGACUAGAGGUAGGUAGGGGAGAAUGGAAUUCCCGGUGUAGCGGUGAAAUGCGCAGAUAUCGGGAGGAACACCGGUGGCGAAGGCGGUUCUCUGGGCCUUACCUGACGCUGAGGAGCGAAAGCGUGGGGAGCGAACAGG
rnacentral:rRNA from 1 species